rnacentral:lncRNA from 1 species
UGAAUUCCUCCUGCUGGAAGCCCAUAGGUGCAAAUACGCUGCACAAGGCUUGCUACAUUGCCAGAUUUCUCCCUUCUGAGUGGCAGGGCAUCAUCCUUGGGCUCUACAUCCUUCUUAACUUCCUUCACAAAAUUGUCUGGGAACAUGCCCCGCCUGCCAUUCAGCUCCCCUUCUAGCCAUCCUUCUUCUUCCAGUUUUUUCACAUUCCUGAUGAUUUCCCCAACUCGAAUGGUUAGCUCAUCCUCGUGCACUGCAUCAUAGUCAUACUCCACA